ensembl:lncRNA
CCUGAACACUUCCUAUUGCCGAACAGCAGUUUAAGUGCCCUACAAAUUGGAUACUAUUAACACCUCCACUUUACAGAGCAAGAGUUGAGUAUUAAAGAGGUUAAAUUCCGGGGCUGGGGAUUUAGCUCAGUGGUAGAGCACUUGCCUAGGAAGCGCAAGGCCCUGGGUUCGGUCCCCAGCUCCGAAAUUAAAAGAACCAAAAAAAAAAAAAAAAAAAAAAAGAGGUUAAAUUCCUGUUCAAGACUGGCAGAGCCAGAAUUUGUUCCCUAACCCAGACAUAGAUGCUCCUGCCCCAGUCUUCCCAGUGAUCAGACUGUGGGCAUAGACCACAGUUCCCAGUUACUAACUUAAAAAAAUAAGUAGGUGGAAAGAGAGAUGUUUCCAGUGAGAGUAUUUGCAGUCUUUGUAGAGGACCAGAGUUUGGUUCCCUGAAUCCACACUGGGCAUGGUUCACAACUACCUGUACCUCUUUCUCCAAGGGAGUCUCGUACGUUCUUCUGCCCCCUCCCCCCACAUAAAGUAAAAUAAGAUUUUAAAAUAAAGGUAAUGUUUUUGUCACAAGCAGAAAAUACAAGAAAGAAUACAGUUAAAAGUGAUAGCUAAUCAUUCGGUGGCUGCACAGAAUGAAGUCAAAACUAGUCAGGUAUCUAUCACAGCACUCACCUCUGCCAGACCCACGGACUCUUUCUUCUCCUAGAACAUUUACAGAGGAGCCCAUAAAAAUUCAAAAGAAUACCUAGGAGUCAGAGCCUCUUGGAGUUUGAAGCUUUAUUUUAUGCUUUGCUAUAAAAUUCAAAGAAGAAUAACUUGGGCUGGGGAGGAAGGUCAGUCAGUCAGGGCUUGCCUUGCAAGCACAGGACCCUGAGUUUAAUCGCUAGAACCCAUGCAGAAAUGCCAGGCAGGGUAGCGUGCUCUUGUAGCCUGAGCCCUGGGGAGGCUGAAACAAGAGGACCCUGGAGUUCACUUAUCAGUCGGUCUAAACUAACUGUUCAACUCCAGAAAAAUGAGAGAUUCUGUUUCAAAGGUGGAUGGUGUUCCUUAAAAAAACUGUCCACUGGCUGAUUGGUGACACACCACACACACACACACACACACACACACACACACACACACACACACACACACAUACACACACACUUUUUUUUUUAAGUAACCCAACAGCAUUGUAGUAUUUCUGUAGUUGACUGGGAGCAGAGACUUCACUGUUCUUCUGAGUGCACCGGGGCACGUAAGAAUGCUGCUUUGCACUUUCCCCCUCCCAAGUGCUAAGAUCAUAGGUAUGCUUUACCAUGUCCAGUUUACACCAUGCUGGGGAUCACGAGGCUUUGGGCAUUGUCUGAACCACACCCACAGCCCCGCAGCAGCACUUCUGUAAGAGUCAGUGCAAAUCAGGUUUGCUAGUACAGGCAAAAAUCCUAUCCACUCCGGAGGCUGGGAUAGCAGGAGCACAAAUUCAAGGCUGGCAUUUAGUGAUGCCCUGUAGCAUUUAGUGAUGCCCUGUAGCACUUAGUGAUGCCCUGGCUCAAAAGGUAAUGAAGCUGGAGAUAUUACUCAGUGCAUUUAUGGCCUUUGCUUGGCAAGACCUUAGGUGAGGCUUGAUCCUAACAUGUACACCCAUGUUAGUCAAAGUUGUGACAGAGCCUGUCACAAACAUUUCCAUCUUACCAGAAGGAUACUUGAACAUAACCCUAGUAUGGCUUCGAGGCAGUGACUAACUGUAUUACUAAGCCAGUGAUCAAAGAUAAGAUGGUUAAGUCAUCCAAGCCCCGUUUUUCUGACUUAAAGGUUCAUCAGAGCCAGUCGUGGUGGCUCACACCUGCAAGCAGCACUCCAGACACAGAGGCAGGAGGAGAUUUAAGCCCAGCAUAUUCUACAUAACUAGGGCUAUACAAUGAGACCCUGGUUUGUUUGUUUAUUUGUUUGAACACACACACACACACACACACACACACACACACACACACACACACACACACUAUACCCAGACUUCCAAAUGUUGUUGGUCUUCUGUUGGGCAAUGAGUAAAAUUUUUUAGUUUUUUACUUUAGCUUUGGUUUAUGGAUUUGUUUUUUAACCUCAAAAUCAAAACAGGAGUGUCUUAGCCUCCCUAGUGUUGGAGUAACUGGCCUACAGGGCCACACCCAGCAUGUAUUUGUUACUUUGUUUCUUAUAUUUCUGCUAGGGCCAAGGUUGUAGUUUAUUAGCAGAACCUAGUGUGUGAGUCGGAUCUCUACCACUGAAAAAAAAAAGUGAACAAAAACUUCCCCUGAUAGAAAUAGCAUGGUCUAGAAAGAAAAACUCAGUAAUACUAGCAGGUAUGGUGAGCCACGGCUACAGCAGUCUCAGUACUGGAGAGGGUAAAGCAGGAGAAUGGCUAUGAGUUCAAGGCCUACGGCAAGCUUAAGACCAGCCUGGGCUAUGGAAUAAGAUGAUCUCACUAAAUAAAAUAAAAUAAAACUCCAAAACAAAACAGAAAAUCAGUGAAAUCACCACUCUACAAUUGCUAUUUCUGAAAUUCUGACAAAUUCCCUCCUAGCCAUAAAAACAAACAAACAAACAAACAAACAAGCAAAACCAAAUGCAAUGUAAGCUCUUGGAAGGUAAAGGGAAGAGGACCAGAAGUUCAAAGCCAGGUUGGCCACAUAACAUAUUUGAAGCUAACCUAGAUUACAUGAGACCUUGUUUCAAAGGGGGCAAAAAAAA